rnacentral:lncRNA from 1 species
UCUACAUCGCACGAGAGUAACCUAGCUCACUAUAGAUUUUUUUUAUAAGUGAGAAGAAAGGAAAUACAUUAAGAGGAGACUCAGACAUCUAACAAGAUUGGCACCUCCAAAAACACUAUCAUAUACAACACCAAAACCAUCAAAGAUAGAAAAACAAACAGGGGGAAAAAAACAGAGAAAAAAGAAGUGGCCCUAAAGGAAAAUAUGCUCCUCAGUCGCCCUUGGAACGGGUGUUGUGUGUAGUGACUUUGGUGAGUUGUUUCUUCUGCUUCUUCAACAAAUGAGGAGUAAAAUGUUCGUUUGAAGCGUCAUUUUUCGUAGCCCUUAUUUGACGAAGCAAUUCCAAGACAUUCUGAAGCACCGGGUAGCGGUGCUGCCGUGCUGGGGAAGGGGGUUCUCAGUAUGGGAAGUAUCAGUAUGAGCUAGUUCCUCUUGUAUAAUAUUGUUUUGGAAUACAUUAUGCUCAAAAUUCGGCUGGGAUAUAACUGGUAUCAAAAGAGGUUCCUCUUCAACAGGAACUUGUUUAUUCUCUUGUUCCACAUGUGCAUGUUCAUAUAUGUCACCAUAACCUGAUCAUUCACUGUGGCUUGAAUCUGCGCCACUAAAUCAUGUGUGUUGUCAACAUGAGUUGCUACUGAUUCAAUUUGCUUUUAUGUGCCUACUUCAACCUCCUUCUCAUGAGGUAUAUAUUGUUGUGUUACUUUUUUUGUGUCAGCAAGCUGAUUAUUUGUUGGCUUCAUUCCUUAAUCAAAAUUUUUCAUUGGUUUCUUUGGAUGCAACCACUUGCGAUUCAACACUGUAUGAUCGAUGAGAUUGCAAUGGUGACAGAAUAUCAAUAGUUUCUCAUAUUGAACCUCCACAUCAAAUGUGUAAACAUCCCUUUC